UGAACAUGGAAAAUCCCGUGAUGAAAUACACGGAACUGGAAUAUAUUGGCAGAGGGACUUUUGGAGAUGUUUGCAGAGCACUUGACAAUGCCACAGGAGGGCAGGUGGCCAUAAAGAAAAUAAAUCUCCAAGAACUGAGGAAGAAGGAA